rnacentral:rRNA from 1 species
AUGAUUAGGAAAACAAAUGGUGUACAAGAAGGUAGAAGUGAUGAGGUUCAAGAAGGUAGUGGAGUUAUCAAUGAUGACCCAGAGUACAGUCCUAAUGAUGGAGAAGAAGUGGAUGAUGUUGUAGUGAAUAGGACUGUUAAGAUGCAAACUCUGUCUUGCUUGAAGGAAGAAGAAGAGCUCAGAAACAUCUGCUGCAAUGCCUCCAGGAAGGGCGAUGGCCCCAGCUCCAGGACAAAAAAGAAGAUCCUGGAACCUGAUGAACCUACCCUUGAUAGAAUCACAAGGCAGAAAGCAAAGAUGGCGACUGCGACAGACCAUCAGGAAAGUCUGCUGCGCAUGGACUCUGAGACCUCAAUGCAAAUGGGUGAUGAGUUGACACACAUGGAUGAAGAUGCAAUGACUACCAAGACUAGACUUAGAAAGGGCAAAGGGCUAGAGAGGGUCACCAAGUCGCUUGGUAGCAAGGUGCCUAUCCAAAUUGCCGAAGGGAUGAAGUGUCCAGAGAAGCCUCUGCAGGCAGCAAAGCUUGCUUCUGAGUGUGGACUCGUCGCAAGAAGCCAUCUUUCGGUUCUUCCUCACUUCAAGCUAUACAAAAAAAUGCUAGUCUAUUGGAGAACUACAUUGGGAAAGUUGCUGCAAAUUUUGAGAUGA